UACGUAGGUGGCGAGCGUUGUCCGGAUUUACUGGGCGUAAAGGGAGCGUAGGCGGACUUUUAAGUCAGCGGUAAAAUUGAGAGGCUCAACCUCUUCCCGCCGUUGAAACUGGUGGUCUUGAGUGGAUGAGAAGUACGCGGAAUGCGUGGUGUAGCGGUGAAAUGCAUAGAUAUCACGCAGAACUCCGAUUGCGAAGGCAGCGUACCGGCAUCCAACUGACGCUGAGGCACGAAAGCGUGGGGAUCAAACAGG
rnacentral:rRNA from 1 species